rnacentral:piRNA from 7 species
GUUCAGUGGUAGAAUUCUCGCCUGCC